ACCAUCGGCCAUCAGCGCCAGUGCCACUCGCGCCCUCAAGAAGCCGCACGGAGUUCGGGCCGGCAGCAGCGGCUGCAGUCGUAUGGCAGUGAGCCGCUGUCUACCCAGCGAGACGGAGAGCUCAGGACGCAACCCUAUGAGUUGGAAGCCGCAGGAGGCGGAACCGGGUUGCGGGAUACGCGUUGACGUCACAUCCUCUGGGCGGGGCCGCAAGGAACCCGCGCAAAUUGAAAGGCCUAAGGAAACGUGUCGUCUGGAAUGGGCUUGGGGGCCACGCCUGCACAUCUCCGCGAGACAGAGGGAUAAAGUGAAGAUGGUGCUGUUAUUGUUACCUCGAGUGCCACAUGCGACCUCUGAGAUAUGUACACAGUCAUUCUUACUAUCGCACUCAGCCAUUCUUACUACGCUAAAGAAGAAAUAAUUAUUCGAGGAUAUUUGCCUGGCCCAGAAGAAACUUAUGUAAAUUUCAUGAACUAUUAUAUCCGUUUUCCUCGGAGUGAGAGAAAACUCUUUUUAGAUAUCAUCUGAGAGGUAGUUAAUUUGGCACCAUGGGGAUACAGGGAUUGCUACAAUUUAUCAAAGA
rnacentral:lncRNA from 10 species